AGAAUCAACGCUGGCGGCGUGCCUAACACAUGCAAGUCGAACGAGAAAGUCCGCAAGGACAAGUAAAGUGGCGACCGGGUGAGUAACACGUGACUAACCUACCUUUUAGUGGGGGAUAACUCCGGGAAACCGGGGCUAAUACCGCAUAACAUCGCAAGAUCAAAGCAGCAAUGCGCUGGAAGAGGGGGUCGCGGCUGAUUAGCUAGUUGGCGGGGUAAUGGCCCACCAAGGCGAAGAUCGGUAUCCGGCCUGAGAGGGCGCACGGACACACUGGAACUGAAACACGGUCCAGACUCCUACGGGAGGCAGCAGUGGGGAAUUUGCGCAAUGGGGGAAACCCUGACGCAGCAACGCCGCGUGGAGGAUGAAGUCCCUUGGGACGUAAACUCCUUUCGACCAAGACGAUAAUGACGGUACUGGUGGAAGAAGCACCGGCUAACUCUGCGCCAGCAGCCGC
rnacentral:rRNA from 1 species